GAGCAGCACAUCUUCUUCAACGCCACGCCUUCUCGCCUUCAUCCCUGCCUCCGGUACCCUCGCCGGCUCUCCCCAGCGCCGCUCCUCCCUCCUGUGUGAUUCUACAGUUCGGCCCCUCGCUGCAGCCUCCAUCCCCGCAGAUAAUUAGAUGGCUGCGAGUCAUGGCAUAUCAGGUCCUAGCCUUCCACCAAGCAGUGAACCGUUCGAAAUGUUUGAGGUUCCUCCGGAUCCUUGUACUGAAACUGGAAAGAAAGUGAAGAAGCAUGCAGCCUCAAGAGCAGCAAUAUGGCUCCACUUCACUAGGGUUCCCAAUGAGCCAGACCGCGCUUCAUGCAACUAUUGUGGACAGACAGUGGGUGUCCAUUCAUCGAGGAGUGGUACUUCUAGUAUGAACAACCAUGCUAAGAUCUGUAAGAAGUAUGCUAUUAUCAAGUCAGGGAGUCGGACCAAUCAGACUGAACUGAGGUUCCAACUUAGUGCUGAUGGUAGUACUGCCAUUCCAGUUCCAUGGCAAUACAAUGAGGAAGAGGUAAGGGUAGCCUUUGCUCAGAUGAUUGUUGUGUAUGAGUUGCCAUUCAUUUUCUCUGAGAAGGAAGGGUUUAGGUAUUUUAUGAUGAAAGCUUGUCCUAGAUUCCACAUUCCAUCUAGGACUACAAUUUAUAGAGAUAUUAUGGGCCUCUAUGCUGCAGAGAAACAAAAGCUAAAAAAAUACUUCAUGAAUUCUCAUCAAACAGUGAGCCUCACAACUGACACUUGGACCUCCGCUAAACUUCAAAAUUACAUGGUUCUUACUGCCCAUUACGUUGAUAUUGACUGGAAACUUAACAAGAAAAUCAUUAGCUUUGUCUUGGUAGAUAGUCACAAAGGGGAGGCUAUUGGAAAGCACUUGAUAAGUUAGUGAUUGAGUGGCGGAUUGAGACAGUGUGCAGUAUUACCGUAGAUAAUGCAUCAUCAAAUGAUACUUGUUUACAAUACAUGAAGAGUUCUCUAAAAAAUCGGGGUGGGGCUGUUGCGAAAGGUUUAUAUCUUCACAUGAGGUGUGUGGCUCAUAUUGUUAAUCUUGUGGUUCAAGAUGGGUUGAAGAUAAUGUCUCAUCCUAUUCAACGCAUUCGAAAUGUUGUCAAGUAUGUGAGAAGCUCAACUGCAAGAAUGAAUAGCUUUAAAAAAUGUGUCACAAUCAGCAAGGUAACUAGCAAAGGACACCUCUCUCUUGAUGUAUGCACUAGAUGGAACUCUACAUUUUUAAUGUUGGAGACAAAAGUGACAUUUGAGAGGGCAUUUGAUCAACUUCGACUUCAAGAUCCCUCCUAUAAGGAAGAGUUAGAUUUGCUUGGGGUUGAAGGAGAAACCGGUCCUCCAACUCAUGACGAUUGGGUUUAUGCUAGUGAGUUCAAAUUGUUCCUCCAACACUUCUUUGUGCUGACAAAUAAGGUUUCUAGCACUAAGUACAUCACGUCCAACACAUUCUUUGAAGAGGUUUCUGCUAUUAAUUACUUGCUAGAUAAGUGGAGUGAACGUGUGAUAUGUGGUGAUGAUGAAGUGUUCAAAAGCAUGGCUGUUAAGAUGAAGGACAAAUAUGAUAAGUAUUGGGGCGAUCCAGAGAAAAUGAACAAAUAUAUAUUUAUUGCUGCUAUUCUUGAUCCUAGGACCAAGGAAUCUGAUUUCUUCAAGGAUACGAUCCAGCGGACAUAUGGGG